UAUUACCACUGGCGGCGUGCCUAAUACAUGCAAGUCGAGCGAACAGACGAGGAGCUUGCUCCUCUGACGUUAGCGGCGGACGGGUGAGUAACACGUGGAUAACCUACCUAUAAGACUGGGAUAACUUCGGGAAACCGGAGCUAAUACCGGAUAAUAUAUUGAACCGCAUGGUUCAAUAGUGAAAGACGGUUUUGCUGUCACUUAUAGAUGGAUCCGCGCCGCAUUAGCUAGUUGGUAAGGUAACGGCUUACCAAGGCAACGAUGCGUAGCCGACCUGAGAGGGUGAUCGGCCACACUGGAACUGAGACACGGUCCAGACUCCUACGGGAGGCAGCAGUAGGGAAUCUUCCGCAAUGGGCGAAAGCCUGACGGAGCAACGCCGCGUGGGUGAUGAAGGUCUUCGGAUCGUAAAACUCUGUUAUUAGGGAAGAACAAAUGUGUAAGUAACUAUGCACGUCUUGACGGUACCUAAUCAGAAAGCCACGGCUAACUACGUG
rnacentral:rRNA from 1 species